CCUUGGAGUGGGGAACAACAAUCCGAAAGGAUUGCUAAUGCCGCAUGUGGAGGCGGGGACUCUGGUCCCUGUCCCAAAAGAGGGCGCCCGCAAGGGGCUCUCGCUCUAAGAUGAGUCCGCGUCCCAUCAGCUAGUUGGCGGGGUAACGGCCCACCAAGGCGAUGACGGGUAGCUGGUCUGAGAGGAUGACCAGCCACACUGGGACUGAGACACGGCCCAG
rnacentral:rRNA from 1 species